CCAAUAGCGUAUAUUAAAGUUGUUGCAGUUAAAAAGCUCGUAGUUGAAUUUCGGGAUCAGUUGAUCGGUCGUGCCUCGGUACGUACUGGUCAAAUUGAUUUCUACCUUCUGACGAACCACGAUGUCAUUAAUUUGGUGUCGCGGGAAAUCAGGACUGUUACUUUGAAAAAAUUAGAGUGUUUAAAGCAGGCUCGCGCUUGAAUACAUUAGCAUGGAAUAAUAAAAUAGGACGUUUGAUUCUAUUUUGUUGGUUUCUAGGAUCGACGUAAUGAUUAAUAGGGAUAGUUGGGGGCAUUAGUAUUCAAUUGUCAGAGGUGAAAUUCUUGGAUUUAUUGAAGACUAACUACUGCGAAAGCAUUUGCCAAGGAUGUUUUCAUUAAUCAAGAACGAAAGUUAGGGGAUCGAAGACGAUCAGAUACCGUCGUAGUCUUAACCAUAAACUAUGCCGACUAGGGAUCGGAUGAUGUUAAUUUUUUAAUGACUCAUUCGGCGCCUUACG
rnacentral:rRNA from 1 species